rnacentral:rRNA from 1 species
AGAGUUUGAUCCUGGCUCAGGGUGAACGCUGGCGGCGUGCUUGACACAUGCAAGUCGAACGGUAUGUGGCAACACAUAGAGUGGCGAACGGGUGAGUAACACGUGGGAACGUAUCUUUUGCAGGGGGAUAACUGACCGAAAGGACAGCUAAUACCGCAUAAGUCCGGGAGGAGAAAGGUGCAACAGCAUCGGCAGAAGAGCGGCCCGCGGUCCAUCAGCUAGUUGGUGAGGUAAGGGCUUACCAAGGCGACGACGGAUAGCCGGCGUGAGAGCGUGGCCGGCCACAAGGACACUGAGAUACGGGUCCUACUCCUACGGGAGGCAGCAGUGCGGAAUUUUAGAUAAUGGAGGGAACUCUGAUCUAGCGACGCCGCGUGCAGGAAGAAGGUCUUCGGAUUGUAAACUGCUGUGGUAAGGGAAAAAUGCUAUGUAGAGUGGAAAGCUACAUAGAGGGAUGGUACCUUACUAGAAAGCCCCGGCUAACUACGUGCCAGCAGCCGCGGUAAUACGUAGGGGGCGAGCGUUACCCGGAAUCACUGGGCGUAAAGGGAGCGUAGGUGGCCUAACAUGUCAACUGUGAAAACCCGGAGCUCAACUCCGGACUUGCAGUUGAAACUGGUAGGCUUGAGGACGGUAGAGGAAGACGGAACUGCCAGUGUAGGGGUAAAAUCCUUAGAUAUUGGCAGGAACGCCGGUGACGAAGGUGGUUUUCUGGGCCGGUUCUGACACUGAUGCUCGAAAGCCAGGGGAGCGAACGGGAUUAGAUACCCCGGUAGUCCUGGCCCUAAACGAUGUUCACUAGGUGUGGGGAGCGGAAAGCUCUCCGUACUAAAGCUAACGCGAUAAGUGAACCGCCUGGGGAGUACGCCCGCAAGGGUGAAACUCAAAUGAAUUGACGG